AAAGACAGCACAGCAUAAAACCAGACAGAGGAGGAGAGGACGUUUGCCAAAUCAGAACUGCUGAACAGCCCUAAGAGGUUUGAAAGUGGAGGUCCUAUCUCUCCACCGAUAAGGCUCGGGGAGUGAGAAACAGACGUGUUGGGAAGCAUCCUGUGGAAAUGUAACAGGUUGGAGCUCUUAGCGGCCCAUCUAUGGCAAGAGGAGUGCAAAACUAUUCACAGACAGCAUGCCGUGAUGUUAUCAGCUAAUCGUUUUUGGAACAGACCGAGGAGUCUUGUGGGUCGGAUUAUUGGUGGUGGUGUUGAAUUGAGGGGGAUUUGCCUGAGGAGACAAGGUCAACAUGAAGCUGUGCUCUCUCCAAACAAAGUGUCUUCACCUGUUGAUUCCUCCUCACAUGAAUGCUGGUCCGAGGAUGAUGAGUCUAACACGAGCACACAGGAAGAGAUGCGCCUCUGUGCGCUCUCAGGUCCGGUCUUACGCACCGACAGAGAUGAACCG